rnacentral:misc_RNA from 1 species
ACAUAGUAAGUAGGAAACCCAUAACAAUACUCAAGUUGCUAAGUGGGCAUUAGUAAGGGAUAGCAUGUUUUCUUACCGGCGUCUUAGCAGGCACGUUAAGAUCAGCCGUCUCUGGAGCGCUUACUUCGGCGGCCUGCUCGACUUCCAUAUUCCACAGCUACUUUAGCUGUCCGUCCCUGCAAAUGGUAGCAAGAAUCACCAGCAUCAAUUCCUGAAUCGAAUCAUACAUAAAACAAGUAACAGUAGAAUCCAAGGCAGAAACUCAGUCCAGUCCAACGGCAUUAAAAAACGGGCUUUCUUUUACAGCCUGGACGAUGAAGGAUACAGAGAUAAAGUUCACGGCUAGAAUCCAAUGUGUCCACAGUGUAAAGUAAAAUCAUUCUGGUGCUCGGAAAGGAUUAGGUGGUUCCUACUCAUGCCAAGACUUACCAACAACUCGAAAUUGGAUCGGAAAAUCGAGUGAAUCUGAACCGUGCAAAGGCGCUCAGCUCACAGAACAGACUGAAAAGACCGCACACAUCGAUGAACACGCUGUGCGCACGACCAGAUAAGAUUUUUUAAAGAAAACGUUAGAUUAUUUGAUCUGAGCUAGCUCACUGACCCUUGAAGCACAAGAUUGCAGGCACCAAACACAAGGAUCGACAGCAAGGCAUAGCAACCAAACAAGGACAAAAAAAAAAAGCAAAGCCAAGAGACAAAGACGACAGCCCGGACUCACCAACCUCCCCACGACCGUCUCGUCCCCUCCACUGCCUACCCUGAGCGGGGACAUGGCAUCUGCAGCGCCCGCGAAGUCAAAGAGGAGCGAGAGCGAUCCGAUCGGGGCGAGACACCGGAAAAGGAAACUGAAGGUGGCUGAUCGAUCGAAACACCGGAAAAGGAAACGGAAGCAAGCAGGGAAGCACGAGGCAAACGAAGAGAGGCGCAGCACUCCUCCUGGCAGCUUCCGGCUGCACCAGCACGCUGCACGCAUCGGAGAAGCCGAGAACCAAACGCCAACGAGGUGGCACGGCGACUCCAGACAGAGGGCUCCAGUGUCCAGACGGGCAAAGCGAAGCGAAGCGAAGCGAAGCGAAGCGAGGACCUCCGAACCAAAACAGACGGGGAAUCGCCGGUGGAUAAUCGCUAACCCCGAGCGCAAUCGGACUCAUCAAGAAUCAAAAUGGAAGAAAAAAGAAGAAAAAACUGGCCGUUUUCAAUACAAAAGAACCUCUCCAUCCAAUCCAGUCAGAAGAAACAUAAGUCACCUUGGAUUUGGAUCAGGAAGAGGUGUCCCGGCGGACGGCGGUCCAAUCCUUCUUGCUUCCUGUCCCUUGGCGGUUGCAGGCGAGCGAGCAGCCAGAAGGAGAACCAAGCCAGCCAACCCCGGCCAGAAAUCAACAGAGAGAAGCGGGUGGAGAGAAGAAAAAGA